rfam:Botryotinia fuckeliana T4 unplaced genomic scaffold BcT4_SuperContig_T_V3__V4, whole genome shotgun sequence.
UCACCGGUUCUGCUUAGAACCAUAAGAAUAUCAAAAUGAUUGAAAU